rnacentral:rRNA from 1 species
UACGUAGGGACCGAGCGUUGUCCGGAAUCAUUGGGCGUAAAGAGCUCGUAGGCGGUGUGUCGCGUCGGCCGUGAAAACCUGCAGCUUAACUGUGGGCUUGCGGUCGAUACGGGCAUCACUGGAGUUCGGCAGGGGAGACUGGAAUUCCUGGUGUAGCGGUGAAAUGCGCAGAUAUCAGGAGGAACACCGGUGGCGAAGGCGGGUCUCUGGGCCGAUACUGACGCUGAGGAGCGAAAGCGUGGGGGAGCGAACAGG